rnacentral:rRNA from 1 species
UACGUAGGGUCCAAGCGUUAUCCGGAAUUACUGGGCGUAAAGAGUUGCGUAGGUGGCAUAGUAAGUAGAUAGUGAAAGCGUGUGGCUCAACCAUACAUCCAUUAUCUAAACUGCUAAGCUAGAAGGCGAGAGAGGUAGAUGGAAUUCCUGAUGUAGGGGUAAUAUCCGUAGAUAUCAGGAGGAACACCGAUGGCGUAAGCAGUCUACUGGCUCGUUCUUGACACUAAGGCACGAAAGCGUGGGGAGCAAACAGG